rnacentral:rRNA from 1 species
UAAGAUAUUAGUAAUUAGGUAGUAAUGGAAUCUCUGAAACCUAAAGAACUUGGCGGUAUUUUAAAUAAUUGGAGGAACCUGUUUCUUAAUUGAAAGUCCACAUCGUAUCUUACCUUAUUUUUGUUUGUAUAUCGUUGUUUUUAGAUGGUAUUGAAAGAUGCAAUCAAGAAUGAAUAAUUUCAAGUAAAUCAAAUCAAGGUGCAGCAUAGUAGGGGAGAUAAUGGGUUACAAUAUAAAUAAUGUAUUACGGAGAUGAAAAGAAAUUUAUUUUUAAGGUGGAUUCAAAAGUAAAAAAAAAGUAAGAAGUUUUUUUGAAUAAUAAUUUAAAAUAUGC